AUUCCUCCAGUACCAAUUCAGAUUUCUAAAAACGAAGGAAUUCAGGUUUCUAAAAACGAAGGAACCGAAUAUUUUCCAUUCCUCUUAAUAACCAUGCCGGAACCGUACUUGCACAGCCUACUGUCAUGUCACUUGGAAAUAGAACCCGUACUGUCGUUCCUCCCGCUAUCCUAUAAUGGCGAUCUGUUUUCUGUCACCCUCGAAACCGGUAACAUUUUCUCCUUCAUUACAAAACAAAAGGCCACCACCCCUCCUCCGCUGCAACUUCGCUCUUCCGACCAUCGCCACUACUGAACCCGAACCCGUCUACACAUCCGUCAGGUCCUUCGCCCCUGCCACAGUUGCCAAUCUUGGUCCCGGAUUCGACUUCUUGGGUUGCGCUGUCGAUGGUCUAGGAGACUUUGUCGCCGUUCGAAUUGAUCCCUCCGUUCAUCCCGGCGAGAUUUCUAUCUCUGACAUUACCGGAACCCACGCCAGUAAAAAACUCUCAAAGAACCCUCUAUGGAACUGCGCAACUAUCGCUGCUAUUGCUGCCAUGAAAAUGCUUAAUAUCCGCUCGGUGGGUCUUUCUCUUACACUUGAAAAGGGCCUUCCUUUAGGGAGCGGCCUUGGAUCGAGUGCUGCCAGUGCUGCGGCUGCUGUUGUGGCGGUCAAUGAGAUUUUUGGUGGAAAAUUACAAGUUAAGGAUCUUGUUCGUGCUGGGUUGGAAUCUGAAGCUAAAGUUUCAGGUUAUCAUGCAGAUAAUAUAGCGCCAGCAAUAAUGGGAGGGUUCGUAUUGAUUAGAAAUUAUAAUCCUUUAGAAUUGAUGAGCUUAAAUUUUCCAGAAGAGAAAGAAAUCUUCUUUGUGUUGGUAAGUCCGGAUUUUGAGGCACCCACAAAGAAAAUGCGGGCUGCUUUGCCGGCAGAAGUCGGGAUACCUCAUCACGUCUGGAACUGCAGCCAAGCUGGGGCGUUAGUUGCUUCUGUGCUGCAAGGAGAUUUGGUGGGGUUGGGCAAGGCACUCUCAAAUGAUAAAAUUGUGGAGCCUAAAAGGGCACCCUUGAUUCCUGGAAUGGAAGAAGUGAAGAAGGCGGCCAUUAGUGCCGGAGCAUUUGGGUGUACAAUUAGUGGAGCAGGGCCUACAGCUGUGGCGGUGAUUGAUGAUGAGGAAAGAGGAAAGGAGAUUGGAGAGAAGAUGGUGGAGGCCUUUCUGAAAGAAGGAAAUUUGAAGGCUGUGGCUAUGGUGAAGAGGCUAGAUAGAGUUGGUGCUAGGCUUGUUGGCAGUGUUCCAACCUGAUAAUCAAAGUAUGCUAAUUCGAAACAAGUUUGGAACACGAAUUCUCUUUGCUGUUCCAAUCCCCAAAGAAAGCUCAGCUUCUGGAAACUUGAUUGAGUCGAACUUGAAGCCAGACAUUUGCAUUCAAUUCCUAAUGCAAAUUUGGUGCGCCGAACAGCCAUAGUGAACGCUUUUGCCAAAUGUGGUGAAGUUGUUUUUGCAAGAAAACUGUUUGAUUCAAUGACUCAGAGAGAUCCUACUGCAUGGAGUGCAAUUAUUGUUGGGCGCAAGCAAGGAAAUUAUUGGAUUUGUGUCAUUGAAUGUGGCUAAAGUGUUAAAGGUUAAUGAAGAGAGAUGGGCCCGUGGCUAUAUCUAGAAAAAUAAUAUUCUGUAACUAUUGGAAUAGGGAUACCAAAAAUUGUCCAACCUAGUAGGGCCCAUAUGAUCAAAUAGAGCUAUAUCUAUAAUGGUGACCACUUACUAAUGCUUCAAAGGUUAUAAAAGAAAGUAACAGAGGAGCACUAUUUAAGCAUCAAGACCUUUACCAAUUACUAAUGCUUUUGAGUCUAAAAAAUUUCUUUCUUUAGCCUUAUACAUCAAAGGACAAUACCUUUUACCAGAAAAGGAAGGAAAAAGGAAAAGAAACUGAUGUUUGGAUUGGUCUAAAAGAGAAACAGUGGAGCACUUGAAGCAUCAA